GACGAACGCUGGCGGCGUGCUUAACACAUGCAAGUCGAACGGUGAAGCGCCUUCCUUUUUGGUGGGUGUGGAUGAGUGGCGAACGGGUGAGUAACACGUGAGUAACCUGCCCCCUUCUUCUGGAUAACCGCAUGAAAGUGUGGCUAAUACGGGAUAUUCUGGGCCUGUCGCAUGAUGGGUCUGGGAAAGAUAUUGUUUCGGUGGGGGAUGGGCUCGCGGCCUAUCAGCUUGUUGGGGGGGUGCUGGCCUACCAAGGCGGUGACGGGUAGCCGGCCUGGGAGGGUGGACGGUCACACUGGGACUGAGACACGGACCAGACUCCUACGGGGGGCAGCAGUGGGGAAUAUUGCACAAUGGGCGCAAGCCUGAUGCAGCGACGCCGCGUGAGGGAUGGAGGCCUUCGGGUUGUGAACCUCUUUCGCCAGUGAAGCAGGCCUGCCUCGUUUGUGGGUGGGUUGACGGUAGCUGGAGAAGAAGCGCCGGCUAACUACGUG
rnacentral:rRNA from 1 species